AGCGGGACAAAGCGAUGGGCGCUUACUGCUUUCAUAAGGCAGGUGGUGAGGGUUCGACUCCCUCCCCCGUAA
rnacentral:tRNA from 1 species